rnacentral:tRNA from 1 species
GGAUGGAUAGCUCAGUGGUAGAGCACUUGCUUUGCAUGCAGGAGGUCUUAAAUUCCAUCCC